rnacentral:tRNA from 1 species
GCCUGGGUGGCUCAGUUGGUUAAACAUCUGACUUCAGCUCAGGUCAUGAUCUUGUGGUUUGUGGGUUCCGGCCCCAUCUCAGGCU